ACGGUCGGUAAUACCUUUAAUGUGUUCGGGAUGAAAGUUUAAUCCCCUGAAGAUAGGCUCCGGUCGGAUUAGCUAGUUGGAGGGUUAAGGGACCCCCAAGGGGACGAUCCGUAACUGGUUUGAGAGGAUGUUCAGCCACACUGGGACUGGAACACGGCCCAGAUUCCUACGGGAGGCAGCAAUGGGGAAUUUUCCGCAAUGGGCGAAAGCCUGACGGAGCAACCCCGCGUGCGGGAGGACGGCCUGUGGGUUGUAAACCGCUUUUCUCUAGGAAGAAGAACUGACGGUACUAGAGGAAUCAGCAUCGGCUAACUCCGUGCCAGCAGCCGCGGUAAUACGGAGGAUGCAAGCGUUAUCCGGAAUUAUUGGGCGUAAAGCGUCCGCAGGUGGUUAAACAAGUCUGCUGUCAAAGGUCGGGGCUCAACUCCGAAAUUGCAGUGGAAACUGAUUGACUAGAGUACGGUAGGGGUAGAGGGAAUUCCCAGUGUAGCGGUGAAAUGCGUAGAUAUUGGGAAGAACACCAGUGGCGAAGGCGCUCUACUGGGCCGUAACUGACACUGAGGGACGAAAGCUAGGGGAGCGAAAGGGAUUAGAUACCCCUGUAGUCCUAGCUGUAAACGAUGGACACUAGGUGUUGCGCGUAUCGACCCGUGCAGUACCGUAGCUAACGCGUUAAGUGUCCCGCCUGGGGAGUACGCACGCAAGUGUGAAACUCAAAGGAAUUGACGGGGGCCCGCACAAGCGGUGGAGUAUGUGGUUUAAUUCGAUGCAACGCGAAGAACCUUACCAGGGCUUGACAUGCCGCGAAUCUUCUAGAAAGGGGAGAGUGCCUACGGGAGCGCGGACACAGGUGGUGCAUGGCUGUCGUCAGCUCGUGUCGUGAGAUGUUGGGUUAAGUCCCGCAACGAGCGCAACCCUCGUCCUUAGUUGCCAUCAUUAAGUUGGGCACUUUAGGGAGACCGCCGGGGACAACUCGGAGGAAGGUGGGGAUGACGUCAAGUCAUCAUGCCCCUUACGUCCUGGGCUACACACGUACUACAAUGCUUCGGACAAAGGGCAGCAAGCAUGCGAAUGCAAGCAAAUCCCAUAAACCGAGGCACAGUUCAGAUUGCAGGCUGCAACUCGCCUGCAUGAAGGAGGAAUCGCUAGUAAUCGCAGGUCAGCAUACUGCGGUGAAUACGUUCCCGGGCCUUGUACACACCGCCCGUCACACCAUGGGAGUUGGCCACGCCCGAAGUCGUUACUCCAACCUUUCGAGGAGGAGGACGCCGAAGGCAGGGCUGAUGACUGGGGUGAAGUCGAUACGGAAUAUAGAAUGUCAUAUAGAUGCAUACGCUAUUUCAUUCCCC
rnacentral:rRNA from 1 species